UACGGAGGGAGCUAGCGUUGUUCGGAAUUACUGGGCGUAAAGCGCACGUAGGCGGCUUUGUAAGUUAGAGGUGAAAGCCCGGGGCUCAACUCCGGAACUGCCUUUAAGACUGCAUCGCUUGAAUCCGGGAGAGGUGAGUGGAAUUCCGAGUGUAGAGGUGAAAUUCGUAGAUAUUAGGAAGAACACCGGUGGCGAAGGCGGCCCACUGGUCCGGUACUGACGCUGAGGUGCGAAAGCGUGGGGAGCAAACAGG
rnacentral:rRNA from 1 species